UUGCUCUUGCGACGCGCUCUGGACCUUCGCGGCCGUAAAAUCCGGCGCUCACCGAAUCGCUCGCUCGGCGGUUUGCGUGUUGCGCCCGGUGGCCCCGUGGUCUUAAGCACAAGCCGCGCCGUUGUCCGUGUUCGUCUCGGGACGUCCGCGACGCCGCCUUGCUCUCGGCGGCGGCCAAAUUUCCUCUCCGUCACCGCUAUGCGGGACCCGGCUCGCUCUCGCUAACGGGCCCGCUUAUAACCAGCUUCAGGGUGACGGGCGGAGGAGAGAAGCUUACGCUGACGCUCGAUCGACGAGUCGGCGCCCGUACGAAAAAAAUUGGAAAAAAAAUAACCGUGCGUUGCGCGUUAUUUUUUUUUUUCCUUUCUUUCCGACCUCAAAUCGGACGAGAUUACCCCCUGAAUUUAAGCAUAGAAA
rnacentral:misc_RNA from 1 species